AGUUGUCUAGAAAAGAUGAUAGCUCACAAGAAAAACCGACUAAUUUAACGAUUUGGGAAUCUAAUUAAUAAAUGGUGUUGAAAGCUUGUAAAAUCAAGAAUCCUAAAGUUUAUUAUGUGAUGCCCACCUGGCGGAUGCAGGUUUUAUCGUUAAGGGCACGCUUUUCUGGAUUUUUU
rnacentral:other from 2 species